rnacentral:rRNA from 1 species
GACGAACGCUGGCGGCGUGCUUAACACAUGCAAGUCGAACGGAAAGGCCCUGCUUUUGUGGGGUGCUCGAGUGGCGAACGGGUGAGUAACACGUGAGUAACCUGCCCUUGACUUUGGGAUAACUUCAGGAAACUGGGGCUAAUACCGGAUAGGAGCUCCUGCUGCAUGGUGGGGGUUGGAAAGUUUCGGCGGUUGGGGAUGGACUCGCGGCUUAUCAGCUUGUUGGUGGGGUAGUGGCUUACCAAGGCUUUGACGGGUAGCCGGCCUGAGAGGGUGACCGGCAACGUGGGGGCAGAGAUGCGGCCCAGACUCCUAGGGGGGCAAGCAGUGGGAAAUAUUGCACAAGGGGGGGAAGCUUGAUGCAGCAACGCCGGGUGCGGGAGACCGGCCUGCGGUUUUAAAACCGCUUUCGCCGGUGACGAAGGGGGAGGGAGGGUAAGGGAUAAAGAAGACCCGGCUAACUACGUC